rnacentral:miRNA from 1 species
UAUCACAGCCAACUUUGAUGAGCU